rnacentral:rRNA from 1 species
GUGGGGAAUAUUGCGCAAUGGGCGAAAGCCUGACGCAGCAACGCCGCGUGAGUGAUGAAGGCCUUCGGGUUGUAAAGCUCUUUCGGUUGGGAAGAAGGGUGUGCGUACUAAUAAUGCGUACAUUUGAUGGUACCAAAAGAAGAAGCACCGGCUAACUUCGUGCCAGCAGCCGCGGUAAUACGAAGGGUGCGAGCGUUGUUCGGAAUGACUGGGCGUAAAGGGUUCGUAGGCGGGAACGCAAGUCAAGUGUGAAAUCCCCAGGCUCAACCUGGGACGUGCACUUGAAACUGCGUUUCUUGAGUCGAGGAGAGGGUAAUGGAAUUGCUGGUGUAGGAGUGACAUCCGUAGAGAUCAGCAGGAACACCGGAGGCGAAGGCGAUUACCUGGCCGAAGACUGACGCUGAGGAACGAAAGCGUGGGGAGCAAACAGGAUUAGAAACCCGAGUAGUCC